rnacentral:rRNA from 1 species
AGAGUUUGAUCCUGGCUCAGGAUGAACGCUAGCGACAGGCUUAACACAUGCAAGUCGAGGGGCAGCACAGGUAGCAAUACCGGGUGGCGACCGGCGCACGGGUGAGUAACGCGUAUGCAACUUACCUAUCAGAGGGGGAUAACCCGGCGAAAGUCGGACUAAUACCGCAUGAAGCAGGGAUCCCGCAUGGGAAUAUUUGCUAAAGAUUCAUCGCUGAUAGAUAGGCAUGCGUUCCAUUAGGCAGUUGGCGGGGUAACGGCCCACCAAACCGACGAUGGAUAGGGGUUCUGAGAGGAAGGUCCCCCACAUUGGUACUGAGACACGGACCAAACUCCUACGGGAGGCAGCAGUGAGGAAUAUUGGUCAAUGGCCGAGAGGCUGAACCAGCCAAGUCGCGUGAGGGAUGAAGGUUCUAUGGAUCGUAAACCUCUUUUAUAAGGGAAUAAAGUGACCCACGUGUGGGUUUUUGUAUGUACCUUAUGAAUAAGGAUCGGCUAACUCCGUGCCAGCAGCCGCGGUAAUACGGAGGAUCCGAGCGUUAUCCGGAUUUAUUGGGUUUAAAGGGAGCGUAGGCGGACGCUUAAGUCAGUUGUGAAAGUUUGCGGCUCAACCGUAAAAUUGCAGUUGAUACUGGAUGUCUUGAGUGCAGUUGAGGCAGGCGGAAUUCGUGGUGUAGCGGUGAAAUGCUUAGAUAUCACGAAGAACUCCGAUUGCGAAGGCAGCCUGCUGGACUGUAACUGACGCUGAUGCUCGAAAGUGUGGGUAUCAAACAGGAUUAGAUACCCUGGUAGUCCACACAGUAAACGAUGAAUACUCGCUGUUUGCGAUAUACAGUAAGCGGCCAAGCGAAAGCGUUAAGUAUUCCACCUGGGGAGUACGCCGGCAACGGUGAAACUCAAAGGAAUUGACGGGGGCCCG